rnacentral:rRNA from 1 species
GAGUGGCAAACGGGUGAGUAACGCGUGGGUGACCUGCCUUCGAGUGGGGGAUAACGUUCCGAAAGGGACGCUAAUACCGCAUGACAUCCGGCCUUUGAAGAGGCGGAGAUCAAAGCUGGGGAUCGCAAGACCUAGCGCUCGAUGAGGGGCCCGCGUCUGAUUAGCUAGUUGGUGGGGUAACGGCUCACCAAGGCAACGAUCAGUAUCCGGCCUGAGAGGGCGGACGGACACACUGGGACUGAGACACGGCCCAGACUCCUACGGGAGGCAGCAGUGGGGAAUUGUUCGCAAUGGGCGCAAGCCUGACGACGCAACGCCGCGUGGAGGAUGAAGAUCUUCGGGUCGUAAACUCCUUUCGAUCGAGACGAACAGCCUUCGGGUAAACAAUCCGGAGGUCUGACGGUACCGAGAGAAGAAGCCCCGGCUAACUCCGUGCCAGCAGCCGCGGUAAUACGGGGGGGGCAAGCGUUGUUCGGAAUUACUGGGCGUAAAGGGCUCGUAGGCGGCCAACUAAGUCAGACGUGAAAUCCCUCGGCUUAACCGGGGAACUGCGUCUGAUACUGGAUGGCUUGAGUUUGGGAGAGGGAUGCGGAAUUCCAGGUGUAGCGGUGAAAUGCGUAGAUAUCUGGAGGAACACCGGUGGCGAAGGCGGCAUCCUGGACCAACAC